GACGAACGCUGGCGGCGUGCUUAACACAUGCAAGUCGAACGGAAAGGCCCUGCUUUUGUGGGGUGCUCGAGUGGCGAACGGGUGAGUAACACGUGAGUAACCUGCCCUUGACUUUGGGAUAACUUCAGGAAACUGGGGCUAAUACCGGAUAGGAGCUCCUGCUGCAUGGUGGGGGUUGGAAAGUUUCGGCGGUUGGGGAUGGACUCGCGGCUUAUCAGCUUGUUGGUGGGGUAGUGGCUUACCAAGGCUUUGACGGGUAGCCGGCCUGAGAGGGUGACCGGCCACAUUGGGCCUGAGAGACGGCCCAGACGCCUACGGGAGGCAGCAGUGGGGAAUCUUGCACAAUGGGCGGAAGCCUGAUGCAGCAACGCCGCGUGCGGGAUGACGGCCUUCGGGUUGUAAACCGCUUUCGCCUGUGACGAAGCGUGAGUGACGGUAAUGGGUAAAGAAGCACCGGCUAACUACGUG
rnacentral:rRNA from 1 species